rnacentral:lncRNA from 1 species
UUUUUUUUUUUUUUUUUUGCCAUGAAAGCAUAUCCCUCUUAAAAUAAGAAAAUGAAGUACAAUAAACAUGAUUUUGAAAAUACUUCUGAGCGGUGGCACCAUCCCACUGAUGGACCAGAUGUGAGGGGAGGGCCUCAGGUUUUCUGACCUCCCAGGGCUCUCUGCAGGCUCAUGAUUUUAUGAAACAUCAGCUGUUCUGAAUUCCUGCAGCACCUGCCACAACAAAGGGAGGCCUUUGCUGAGCAUACUAAUGCAGUUGUACAUGCCUUCACAGAACAAAGAAACCAAAAUGAGGAGGUCAUUCAGCCUCCCUUGGACACUGUCCACCCCAUCCUUGUCUGAGCCCUCUGGGGGAGGUGGAUACCCACCUGCAAGAGAAGAUGGCCUGCUCUGAGAACUGACUACAGAUGGAGAGCAAGACUGGAAAAGGCCAGACUUCGGCCUCAAGGCUCUCUCUUUGCUCACACUGGACCCACACGCAGGAGCAUCUCUGGGAUGUGGAGCUGUGUCCACUCGGGAAUGGCUUUCCAGAAUUCAGAUUCAGUUCUGGUGGUUGGAAAGUCAAGAUUAAAGACCUCCAUCUGGUGAGGACCUUUUUGCUAUGUCACCUCAUGGCAGGAAGAUGGCCUGGCAAGAGAGAGCAUUCCAGAGAGAUAGAGAGGGGACAGAAUUGGCCUUUAUACAGUCAGUUUUCUGGUCAUGAAUCCACUCUUGGAAUAAUGACAUUAAUCCAUUCAUGAGUUUUGGAAGGUGCAAACACUGAAACCAUCAAAAAUUUGUGUAUGAUGUCAGUCUUAAAAGUGAAAUUGUCAGACAUUUAACUCUGUGUGUGUGGUACAGGGACAUAAAACCUGUGUGUUUCUGCUAUACCUCCAUAUUUUUUUUGUCUCACUAAGCUGCUAAAUUGCCCAAGCUGUGCUUGAACUUGAACUUCUCCUGACUCAGCCUCCCAGAAUGCUGGGAUUAUAGGCAUUCACCAGCACAUUUAGU